GAGGAUGUAGCUCAGUAGUAGAGCGCUUGCCUGUCACGCAAGAGGUCGCGGGUUCGAUUCCCGUCAUUCUCG
rnacentral:tRNA from 2 species